GCGGGUGUAGUACAGCGGUUAGUAUGCGAGUUUUCCAAACUCGAGAUCGGGGUUCGAUUCCCCGCACCCGCACCA
rnacentral:tRNA from 1 species